GUCUGCCCACUGGUCCCUGGGCAGGUGGCAGGUCCCCCUUCCUCUCUUAACCUGUCCCUCUCAACCCCUGCCAUUGUGCCUCAGCCCCCAUGCUGUGUGGCAACAGCAUCUCUUGUUGGAGGGGCUGGCUGUGACUGGGAGUCAUCCUUUGAGAACCAGACAUGGUUUGUGCACUUAUGUCCAGACAGGAAGCAUCCUUGUCUGCACCCCUAAAACUAUCAUGUCUCAGCCUCCCCUGGACAGUCCCAAGGCCUCAGGUGAGGCAAGCAAAGCAGACCAGCCCCUCUCCUGUCUUUGGAUGUCCACCUUCCAGGCUGCAGAGGGUACACAGCCCCUGGACCUCUCUGCAGCCCAGUUGCAGCCCCUUACCCCUGAGCUUCCCCAUCAGCUGGCCACAUCAACAUGUUCUUGGUCCCGGGAGCACUCCACUGUCUCCCCACUUGCUCCCGAGGUGGGUCCCUACUCUGCUGCUCCCCCUCACCCUUCCCCUUUAGCCGCGAAAGGGAGGGGCAGUGUUCCAGGCACAAAUUCCACUCAGAGAAUUUUAGGUAUGCCCUUGUGUCCCAGUGAGAGAGCUGCCUGCCUGUUUUCCAUUUAUAUCAAGAUUGUUUGCAUACUUUUGUAAUUAAGGGGAGUGUCCAGUGGAAGGAGUGUUUAGAUGAUCUAUAUGGAUAGCUCAAGUCUCUGUAAGUUUUGGCUCUGAAUUCCAAUUAGAAAAGCUUCUCCUUUUGCAUAUGAGUUGACUGAUGUUGUGAGUGUAAACUGCAUUUGGUUAUUUCUGGUAUCUAUGGCCACUUGGAUUGAUUUUUGUUUGUUUGUUUUACAUUCCAUUCCCCAGUUACAGAAAGGAGUCCCUUGGUGUGUGAAUAUGUGUGCCUGUAGAAGGUAGGCCUGGUCGGGCCGGGGAAAUGUGUGGCAUGCACAUAAGUUGAAAUUCCACUUUUAUGCAUUUUUUUAAAAAAACCUCUUGAGGACAUAGGGGAUGUCAGUUUCCUAUGGAAGAGACACCCUGACCCAUUGUUCUUAUAAAUAAUCUCAAGGGGAAAAAAAAGUUUUCGUUCUUUCCCCACUCAUUGGGUUCAAAUAAAUUAAAAAUCUGAUUUUCAGAAAUACUGCUUUGUGUUUGUUUCUACUUGAUUGUGGCUGGGUAGCCUGGAGUCUCAGUCACAGAAUGCAGAGACACUGGGAAAUUUAUAAAAGAUCUUUGAGGGUGAUCAGAAGAAAGUCAAGACCCCUUGGGUUCAGCCCUUCCUUUAUUGAAUUCCUACAGUGUGUUCCUGGAUCUACCACUGUCUUGCUGUGUGGACUCAGGCCAGGUCCUUAAUCUUUUAGUACUUCAGUUUCCUUCGGUGACGAUGGGGAUAGUAAUAAAACAACCUCAGGCAUGUUGCAGAAAUUAAAUCUGUAAUAUGUGCUAAUAAAAUAUACUGGUUCAAAAUAAUGUCAUGCAUGCAGAAGGUGGCACACAGUAAAUUUUCAAAAAUGGUCAUUGUUCCACAGGGGUAUUCCCAGAUGGAAUAUAAUAUCCACAAGAACAGCGCCAACAGGUUCCCAAGCUUUGAGCCAAGGACUGCAUAAAUGAAGGGUGUUUCAUAAAUUCUUAGUUUCCAAGGACCUGGCAUUCCUUUUUUAACCUUCAGCUCAGCAAAGGGAGAUCAUCUGCUGUGAGAAAGGGACUUUACGUGGAUGUUUGCCAUCCUGCCAUCCAGUCCUUCAAGGCCUUCAUCAGAACAUCACAGACAUGGAUCAGCAAAUCAGGGAUAAAUGUAUGAGGAAACUGAGGCUCAGAAACACGGACACGUUUCCCCAAUGUCCAGCAACAUGCAGAAGCACUUGGGUUCAGGUCUGAGUCUACAACCUCAGCUCUGCCAAACAGGGAUAAAAAGCUGAAAGGAAGGUUUGCAAAGUCAGGACUGUGGUGGAGCACAAAAAUCUGCAUUUUGAACACGCUUCUCAGUGAUUGAAGAAGCAAGUCAGCAGAAUGCUUUUGGAUCAUCACGAUGUUUAAAGCACCCCUGCAAUUUGCCUAGAUGACCGCUGAGGAGAGUAACAAUGAGUUUGAGAUGGGAAAGAGUCUAUAGGUGUACUUAUUUUAAAAACAUCAAUAAACCUCUACUGAAGGCUCUCCACAAGUAUGUCCCUUUUCCCCAGGGGCACCAACACCUCGUGGUUUCCGGCGUGAUCCCAGGAGCCGCCUCCCGCUCGACCCCGCUGCACCCUCCG